rnacentral:rRNA from 1 species
CAGGCGGUUUUCUUAAGUCUGAUGUGAAAGCCUUCGGCUUAACCGGAGAAGUGCAUCGGAAACUGGAUAACUUGAGUGCAGAAGAGGGUAGUGGAACUCCAUGUGUAGCGGUGGAAUGCGUAGAUAUAUGGAAGAACACCAGUGGCGAAGGCGGCUACCUGGUCUGCAACUGACGCUGAGACUCGAAAGCAUGGGUAGCGAACAGGAUUAGAUACCCUGGUAG